UGUGUGUGUGUGUUUUUGUUUGUGUGUGAUAUUUUGACGUCGUCAUAAACCGGAUGUUUACGUUGCGAAAGAAAAGUGAAAGUAAGAGUUUUGCCUCCUUUCGGAAGCGUCGUCUUUUCCUAGGUAGUACAGUAUUUUUAUAGUUUUUUUCCUGACCUACAAUUGAAAUACUUGGCCAGAGACUCUCCAAAUUUUUUGAAGAGGGGCAUCUAUAUUUUGAGAGAACUGUCUGGAGGAAAGCUUGCCGUCACAACGCCUCGCACGAGCUCUUGUGUCGCCGUGCCCUCUCCACAGCAGCUUUGCACAUUUCUUGUAAAACAGCUGACCCUUCUCGCCGCUUACACCCACGCAGCCUUACGCAACACCCACGUAAAUCUUGGCAGCAGCCGCAAACGCUUCGCUAUUAAAGUUGCCAUCACCUUGAGACACCUGAUCGCCUGCGGCUAAUCUUCUCUGGCCUCUGUGAAGUUUUGGGGCGUGACCGCCCUCGAAACAGGAUGGCCGUUGACGAGGUGACUCAUGAAACUGUGCCAGAGUAUGCCAGGAUUCUCACCAGGACCAUUUUUUUUCCCACUACACCCCAUUCAAGUUCUGGCUUUCGUCAACCCUUAUUUUGGCGCUGCACGAUAGUCGUCAAAGUGCUCUUGUGCCGCGCAUGUCGCUCGUAAAGAUAAAUUAACAAAAUUGUUAUGCCGGGCGUGGCGAAAAUCUCGCGGAAGGAUUUGGUUUGCAACCCGUCGGAGCUUGUGAUUAAGUUAAUGUGCAACCACUCACAAAUGCUUUGGAUCAAUAAAGCUUCGGCUCGUCACGUAGCAUCAAACGACCGCCAUUUUAGUCCUUUUUUUUGUUUUGUUUUGUUUUUUUUUUGCAUGAUGUAACACACUUGUCUGUGGCUUUUAAAGUAAAGCGGAGCCUUGAGAUACGGGUGACCAGACUUAAAGAGUUUUUCAAGAAAUGACAUGAAACAGACUUUGCCUGUAGUCCACUAGCUAAAUGCUAAUGCUAACACUUGAUGUAAAAAUGUAUUUAUGGCCCUUUCAUAUAUUCAUUCAUUCAUUCAUCUUCCGAGCCGCUUGAUCCUCACUAGGGUCGCGGGGGGUGCUGGAGCCUAUCCCAGCUGUCUUCGGGCAGUAGGCGGGGGACACCCUGAAUCGGUUGCCAGCCAAUCGCAGGGCACACAGAAACGAACAACCAUUCGCACUCACACUCACACCUAGGGACAAUUUAGAGUGUUCAAUCAGCCUGCUAUGCAUAUUUUUGGAAUGUGGGAGGAUACCGGAGCACCCGGAGAAAACUCGCGCAGGCCCGGGGAGAACAUGCAAACUCCACACAGGGAGGCCGGAGCUGGAAUCGAACCCGGUACCUCUGCACUGUGAAGCCAACGUGCUAACCACUGGACUACCGGGCCGCCCCCCUUUCAUAUAUGAAUGGCACAUUUCUACAAGAUACAGUACCCACGGUCAUAUAUACUUUAUCCUCUGCAAAGAGCUGGAGGGGCAGGGCUAACAAGUUGAGGGGGUCUCAAGGUCUCAGAAAAAAAAAUCUUCACAUGUACAGUACGAAGCUCUUUUAGGCGACUUUAUUUAAGCUGUGAGGUUGCUGAUUCGGAUAGAGAACGCUUCCUGUCGCCAGUGUCAGACAAAGUGCAGGCGGUGACCUCUCGUCGCCACAUCCGUACUCAUCUCCGAUUGUAUUCACUGAGCAUUUGUUCCAUUUGAACUUAACGAGUGUGGACGAUUGAGCACGUCAACGCUUGGAUUCGUCUGCAAAUGCAACAGAGCGCUUUCCGUGUCUCCUCGUCCAAAGUCCUUGAGCAUAUAGCAGGAAAUGCCAGGAUGCUGAUUUUUGUCGAGUGGGGAAAAGGAGGAGCGGGGAACUGUGUUUGGAAUGGAAUUCAAAUGUUUCACAAUACUGUAGUGGAAAAAAAAAAAAAAAAAAGAAGCUGACUGUCAAUAUUGUGCGUGUGGAAAGCACCAAAAACGUUGCUCUUUUUCUUCACUUCUUUAUUUUUAGAUGAGUCCACUGUAAGCGACAGUAAUUACUCAAUUAGAGCGGGAACGGCUUUCACACUUCAGAACGCUAUUGGAUGAAAAAUUGCAGGCAGGAAAUUAAAAAAAAAAAAAAAACA